rnacentral:rRNA from 1 species
AGGACGAACGCUGGCGGCGUGCUUAACACAUGCAAGUCGAGCGGAAAGGCCCUUCGGGGUACUCGAGCGGCGAACGGGUGAGUAACACGUGAGCAAUCUGCCCUUAGCUUCGGGAUAGCCCCGGGAAACCGGGAUUAAUACCGAAUACGACCUCGGCCGACAUCGGCCUUGGUGGAAAGUUUUUCGGCUAGGGAUGAACUCGCGGCCUAUCAGCUUGUUGGUGGGGUAAUAGCCUACCAAGGCGACGACGGGUAGCCGGCCUGAGAGGGCGACCGGCCACACUGGGACUGAGACACGGCCCAGACUCCUACGGGAGGCAGCAGUGGGGAAUAUUGCGCAAUGGGCGAAAGCCUGACGCAGCGACGCCGCGUGGGGAUGAAGGCCUUCGGGUUGUAAACCCCUUUCAGCAGGGACGAAGCGAGAGUGACGGUACCUGCAGAAGAAGCGCCGGCUAACUACGUGCCAGCAGCCGC